AUGAACGCUGGCGGCGUGCUUAACACAUGCAAGUCGCACGCUGAAGCCCAGCUUGCUGGGUGGAUUAGUGGCGAACGGGUGAGUAACACGUGAGUAACCUGCCCUUAACUCUGGGAUAAGCCUGGGAAACUGGGUCUAAUACCGGAUAGGAGCGUCCACCGCAUGGUGGGUGUUGGAAAGAUUUAUCGGUUUUGGAUGGACUCGCGGCCUAUCAGCUUGUUGGUGAGGUAAUGGCUCACCAAGGCGACGACGGGUAGCCGGCCUGAGAGGGUGACCGGCCACACUGGGACUGAGACACGGCCCAGACUCCUACGGGAGGCAGCAGUGGGGAAUAUUGCACAAUGGGCGCAAGCCUGAUGCAGCGACGCCGCGUGAGGGAUGACGGCCUUCGGGUUGUAAACCUCUUUCAGUAGGGAAGAAGCGAAAGUGACGGUACCUGCAGAAGAAGCACCGGCUAACUACGUG
rnacentral:rRNA from 1 species